rnacentral:rRNA from 1 species
AGAGUUGAUCAUGGCUCAGGACGAACGCUGGCGGCACGCUAACACAUGCAAGUCGAACGGUGACGGUUCAAGCUUGCUUGAAACCCGAUCAGUGGCGGACGGGUGAGUAACACGUGAGCAAUCUGCCUUUAAGUGGGGAAUAACGACUGGAAACGGUCGGUAAUACCGCAUAAUAUAGCUGAGCCGCAUGACUUAGUUAUCAAAGAUUUAUCGCUUAAAGAUGAGCUCGCGUCUGAUUAGCUGGUUGGUGAGGUAACGGCCCACCAAGGCGACGAUCAGUAGCCGGACUGAGAGGUUGAACGGCCACAUUGGGACUGAGACACGGCCCAGACUCCUACGGGAGGCAGCAGUGGGGAAUAUUGCACAAUGGGCGCAAGCCUGAUGCAAGCGAUGCCGCGUGAGGGAAGAAGGUUUUCGGAUUGUAAACCUCUGUUGACAGGGACGAUAAUGACGGUACCUGUUCAGAAAGCUCCGGCUAACUACGUGCCAGCAGCAGC